rnacentral:rRNA from 1 species
GACAGAGGGUGCAAACGUUGCUCGGAAUUACUGGGCGUAAAGCGCGUGUAGGUGGAUUGGUGUGUCAGAUGUGAAAGCCCUGGGCUCAACCCAGGAACUGCACCUGAAACUACCAGUCUUGAGUGGUGGAGAGGGAAGUGGAAUUCCUGGUGUAGAGGUGAAAUUCGUAGAUAUCGGGUGGAACACCAGUGGCGAAGGCGGCUAUCUGGACGGACACUGACGCUGAGACGCGAAAGCGUGGGGAGCAAACAGG